UCAACCUAGCGGCCACCUCCCAGAUCGCAUCGCACGUCUAAUCACCGCCGCCGCCGUCUCACCCCACCUCCAUGGCCUGGUCUCCGCCACCUGACCCCCAUCUUCACCGCCGCCACCGCCGCCGCCCCACUAUCACCGCCCUUCUCCAUUCUCCUGUUCCCAUCGGCGCCCCCACCUCACCUGGACCGCCUCCGCCGCCCCACCUUCACCGCUGGUCUCCAGCUCCGCCACCCCACGACCACCGCUGGUCUCCACCUCCGCCACCCCACAACCACCGCCGGUCUCCCUUCCCCUAUCCCCAUCACCGCCCCAACCUAAGUACAUCGCCUCGCCUCGUCACGAGCGGCUGCUGCUCUGUUCUCCUCUUGUCGCAACUGAAUCAUCCUCCCCUUUUCCUCAGACUAACUGCUCCAUUUGUUGUGCCUGUUGUAGCUAUUGCGUUACACAUUCAAAAAUCUUUGCACGGAAGGGAGGAAGCCAUAUACCAUAGCUGUAGUGAAGUGUAAGGCAAAACCUAUAUCAGGAAAUCUCAGAGAUUUAAGAAGCUCUCUCGUUUGCUCGGAACUCCUGGCCUGGCUGUCUCCUCCUCCUCUUCUUUGCUUUACAGCUUCUCCAUAGCCAUGGAGAAACCUGAAUAUAGAGGAAAAAGGGUAAGGCAUCAUGGACUAAUGGUCAAGCAAACUUUCUUGUACCAAUAGUGAAACAACAUGUAGAUGCCUCCUAAUGGGCGAAGUUCUGUGGUCAAAAUGGAUGGACAAAGGAGUUGCAACAUCUAAAGCAGAAGUGAAAUGCAAAGCAAAACCUAUCUCAGGGGGAAUACCUAGUUAUCCCAUGUUAGCUUGGACGAUGUGCGAUGGACAACCACGUCACGAAUGGCUACACUAUAUGCAGCAUUGAUGAUGAUAACAUCGGUGGCAGACUAGAUGACUUAGAAACUUAUCAACUGAUAUGUAUGUAGGUGAUGGAUGAAAAUUUAGAGUCUGGUUGGCAUGUAUGUGUAUAACUAUUAUGUUGUUGCCUUUGAGCAAGUAAACUUUUCACAUGUCAAUUACCCAGAUAUCUGAUCAUUGAUUGAUAUGUGCUACUAAUUUGGAUGCAUGCGCCAUGCGCAAAGGAAUGAUGUGGAUCAUGGUUUAA